UGAAGAUGAAAAAGAGUGUUGAACUCUAAUUGAACUCUUACUGAACCAUGAAAAUCUGUCACAGUUUGAUCUUCUUCUUUCUCACACUUCAAGAUGGAAACACUGGUCUCGUCAGUGGAGAAAUCCCAGUUUAUGAAAAAACUGAAGGAGAAACAAUUAGAGUUGAAUGCACGUUUGAGUGGUCUGGUGUGGGCACACAAAAGAUGAUGUUAUGUAGGAAUGAAUGUA